AAGAGUACCAAGCGUUACCCCCUAGCUGUCUCCAAGGGGGAAAAAGUUAAAGUGUUUUCAAUCCCUAUAUUUUUUGCAUUCUUUCUUGAACAUUCUCCCUCAGCACAAAAAAACACAAAAAACACAUUCGGAGUCUGUCAGAAGGUGGCAGGGAAAUUAGUCAGGAGUCACAAAGUAACAGUCAGUUCUGGAAAGAGGCGAGAGAAGAGAGAGAUGGGGCAAUGGAGAGGAAAAGAGGGGCGUUGGAUGGAGAGGUGUACUUUUAGUUCCAUGCAUUUAUAUACACACACACACACACAGUGUGGCAGUGGCCGCCUGCCGUGGAGUGGCUUGCAGGGUAAGGCUAAAGUCAGUGGAGCGAAGGAUGAGGUGGAAGGAAGGAGUGAAGGAUUGAGGCGUGAGGGGGUGGUGGUGUAGUGUGGCAUUGCGGGGUGGGGUGAGUGAGGAAAUGUAGCAAAUCUGAAGUGACAUAUUGGGACAUGCUUUGAGUCACCCCGCAAUAAUACACAGAUCUUUCUUUUUUUUUUUAGCCCGUCUGUCUGCUUCGCCCGUCAGGUUUGUUUACAAAAGAUUUUGUUUUCACCCCCACCCUCCUCCCAUACAACUUCCCCCUUCGUUGCUCACUUCACCACCAUUCCUGUGUUCCUUUAAGUUUUCCUUUACCUCAUGCUUUCUGUCUUUUUUUUUUUUUGAAUGCUGACAUUUUUUUUUUUAGUUUCUUUUCAUCCUCAAGCUCGCUGCUCUCAAACACUUCCCCCUGCAUCUCUCACUGCAGACCCCCACCAGGCUACCUCUCUUCCCUUUCUAAUAAUAUCCAUAAUGUGCUCUGAGUGCGUCUUGCUCGCAGCAGCUCGUCAUUUGCUUCUCCGUCCCUCCGAUGCUGCACCAACACCACCCAUCGCUGGUAUGCAGUCUUUCUCACCUCCCUUCCAUCUCCCACUUCCCUUUAUCACAUUUCUCAUUCCCCUCUCGUUCCAUAUGCUCUUUGUCUUAGUGUUAUCUCACCCUUCUCCUUGAUUUCCUCCCCCAUUUCCUCCACCCCUUCUUCUCCUCUCCUUUUCCCUCCCUCCUCUUGUUUCUGGAUGUGGUGCAGACACAGUGUGAACAUGUGAUCCUCUUCCACUCCCCUCCCACUCGUUGCCGUGUCUUGGCUCCUUUCAUCCUCAUCACUCUUCUUCUUCUCUCUGUUUGUCUCCUGUUUGCGUAGGCCACCUCUUUUAGCUUUCACGAGUACGAGGUCCUUAACUCCACGCCCAACUUCUAUCACUCUCUUUCUUUCUCUGUCGUUCUGUCACACACCUCCCCUUCUUGUAUGCCCCCCCCCCUCCUUUUGUUAAUUCAUUUUCCUGUGCAGGCUGUUAUUUUCACAUUCUUACUGUGUCUGCUUUUUUCUCCAAACUCUCCAAGCCUGCCUCGUUAUGUUUCUGCUCGUGCUCAGUCUGUGUCCGUGCAUGUAUCUGCUGAUGUGUGCGUUCCUUUUCAGACGUCUACACGUGCUCAUGUUCCUUGCUCACUUGCCUCCGUGUUUGUCUGCUUCAUACAUAAAGGUUAGCUUUGCAUUAUUGCAGUUUUCUUGCAUCCCACAGACACACACACACACAUGCUUGCACACACUCUCACAUGCACACACAGAGGCAGACGCAAAGAUGAAAGCUUGAGAGAUUUUCUGGAUAAAUUCUCUGUGUUGCCGUGUGAACCUCAUUACUGCACCCAGGUAGAAUAUGAAAGAACCCAGCAGACCCAGAA
ensembl:lncRNA